UUGACCUCGGAUCAUGUAGGAAUACCCGCUGAACUUAAGCAUAUCAAUAAGCCGGAGGAA
rnacentral:rRNA from 1 species